rnacentral:lncRNA from 1 species
UAGUUUAUGGUGGGGAAAAAAAAUUUACCUAUCACUGUUAGACAUUUUUAUUUCAUGACUAAUGUCUUCUCCUUUUAGAAAUAAUUUUAGGAGGAAAGAUAGAAAUUUUACUUUUACAUUGUAUUAUUUGUCUUCAUAGCAUACAUAAAACACAAGAGAAUGUGUCAGUGCAACGUGUGACAAUUGCCAUAGGCUUUGCUAGGCCUAUCCAACUGCAAUCUGCUUGAUGUCUUCAUCUCAUUGAUUAUUAUUUUUUAUCCUGAAUUUGCAUCUUGCAGUGGAAGUUCCUAAAUCUCAUGGAGAUAUGAGAUCCCUACAGUUUUUGUUAACUGCUGCUUAGAGAUUUGAAUUUUUCAACUCUAGAAACCUUCCAGUAGACUUCUGUGGCAAACCCAGUCCCCAGAGAUACUGUGCCUGCUCACGCAGACAACAGAUAAUCAGAAAAGUGGUAGAAAAAAUGCAUUCAAUACAAUAUUUACUUCUCCUUAAAAAUGGUACUUUUAUUUUUAUCCAUGUAAUAGAAUCUAAAUCUUUACUUGGAAAAAUGAAAGUAAGGUACGCAUAUUGAUAAACAGGGAUAUCAGGAAAAUGCUCCUGGAUAAAUUUAAGUAAAAGGACAUAUUAAAAAGAGCUUUCAGGUGUUGGAAGAUGGAACACAAGAGCUGUGAAGUCUUCCGAAUGGGUCAUUUCCAGUUCAUAUUCUAUAUAAUUAAAAAAAAAAAAAAAAAAAAAGAUGAAUCCCAAUGUAUCAGGGGUGAAAUUCCUCCUUUAUUUGAUGAUUCAUGUUAGCUGGUGUCAAACUCAGAUAUCAUGUUUAUUUUCCUACAAAUUAAGAGUGAAAACACUGCCUUACCUAACUAACAAAUUAGCACUACAUAAAAACUGAGUGAAGAAACACUGUAUAAAUUAGGGCUGGUGCUGUACCUGUUAGUAUGAUGUCAGCAUGCAUUUCAAAAUGUAUGAUAGGAUAGAUUUCUGCCUUCUGAACUUUUCAAAUGAAGAGAAAACUCAAAGCUAACAGGAGAGAUUAGAUCAUCCUCAGGAAUAUAAAUCUUUGUCAUAAAUCUUUGUCUCUAGAAAGGGAAAAAGAAAAUCAUCUGCAUGUAUUCAAGUCUGAUGCUGGCUACAAAGAAUAUGAAAUUUAUGUCAAUUAAGUUAAAAUUCGUGAACCAAAAUUUGCCUGAUACACACACUGGUUCAUUACAACUGUGCACAUAUAUCUACUCUGCUAAAGUGAUUCUCAUGUGAAUUACUCAUUGAAGUAAUAACACAGUGCCUCCAAAAAUAUGUUUGCAGAGUUUCUUAAGCUCCCAAAUUAGGGCAAUGUGUGCCUAAAUACAAUAGGCUUCUGUAACAGGACUUGGCCACUACAAAAGAAGGAACUGUCACUAACCUGGAACUUUUUUGUAAUUAAUGUAUUGUGGAAAAAUGCAAAACCUUAGGAAAUUCUUAACAAUUUUCUCCCAUCCAGAUGAAAUGUGAGGUUUUACAGAAAUGCAUUUCUGAGGCUCCCAGGAUGACAUGACAACAGAAAACACCAUCGUAAUUAUCUUUGCAACAUAAUGCAUUCUGAUUACCUAUGUACGGCAAUUACAUAAAAUAACAGAGCUGUUAUCAUGCUAUCACUGACUCACAGAACUCAUGUGAAUAAUUUAUGUAGGAUGCAGUAGAAAAAGGUCCUCUUUUUCUAAAAGGCAGAUCUAGAACAUUCCCAGAGAGUAAAAGAGGUAAGAGAGUAAAAGAGAAACAAAUAGGUUGGCUAUUCCUUCUUUCAGCUAACUUUGUGCAUACACAAAAUGGCUUUCAUCUUUUCCUGAGGGCCUACUGAACAUGUUCUUCUAUUUCUCUUUCAACAUAAGAUCAUGCAUGUAAAAAUGGUUCUGUUUGCUGGACUUUGUAGUUUUAUUAGAAAAGCACAAAAAACAGAAGAACAAAACAAAAAAACCCAGAAUAUUUAAAAUAGAUCCUAGAUUUUAUACGAAUUAGUUGAAUGUCUGAUCAUUCUCCCCUCCCUCAUUCCAGAAAGCCACUGGAACAAUUGAUUUUCUUCUUUUGAAAGUCUAGGCUAUCAUAUGGGUUUGUUUGGGUUUUUUUCAGUCCAUCAUUUCUUUCUUAUAGCUUAAGCUAUUUUUUCAUUCUAACAGAUCUAGAUCAAUAAACACUUUGAAGAUAAGGGCUGAGUUGUUGAGACGCUUAUCUGUAGGGAGCAGUGCUGAAUAACUGCAAUAACUAUUCCCACAGCUUUCAUUAUCUGAAUCCAGGUGCAUCCAGGUACAGGUGUUACAAGACAUUUCUGAAGACUAAUGUUUUUAAGCCACUGCCAACUGUAUUUCACAAAUGCCAUUAUUUAAAAGGCAAAAAGGUACAGUAUGUGCCUCUGCCCUUCAUUUCAGCACUGUAAGACAACCAGCCAGUAGUGUUAUUUGUUCUACACUUACAAUUGAAGGGCCCUAUCUUUCAAAUAAGAUCUGAAAUCCAGAUGAAAGCCCAAAGAAAUGAAAGACCUUCUAUUGAUUGGAAUGCAUUUUAGGUCAUUUCAGAUGUGCCUGAUAUUCUUUUGAUUUGAAAGAGGAAUAGCAUGUCCAGCAAUGCAUCAUAAAAAUUAUGUCCCAGGUUUACUAAAUGAUCAUAGGCUAAGUUAAAAUGAUGAGAGUUGCCAGAAUGUAUUAGAAAAGCUAGUGUAUUGAGAACGAGCAGUCUUGUCUUGCAAAUGUAAGUAUGUGUUUCUAAAUAUUAUAUCAAUUCUGAACAACAAAAGCUUUGUUAUUCACAUAUAUGCUGUCUUAGAUUUGGCUGAAUAUUCCUCUUUCUUUUUAAGAGUAAUUUCACUGAGAUGAGAACAUUUCAUAAGAACAUACCUAUUUUAAUUACCAUUUCCCUCAGGGAUGAUAACAUUAUUUUUUUAUUUUAAUUUCUUAUUGUGGUUUACUUAGUUCAUCUAACUUUUUUUUAUGCAUUAGCAUAUCUUCUUUCUAACACUUCCUGUUCUAUUAUUUCAGUAUUGUAAAACAUGAUUCUGGAUAUUUUGUUCAAAUUUAAUUCAGUGUAAAACUUUUAAUUUCGUCUUCUGAGUACUCAGUAUAGAAUUUAUAACUCCAGGAAUUGUGAAUCAUUUGUUAAAUCAAGGAAAUUAAAAUAGCUUAAUAAAGGAAAAGGAGAAAAAAUAUUUUGUGCUGUAAGCCUUUAAAAAUCGUAUUUUGAAGCAAACCCCAAAAUAAUGAACUGGAAAGUUUUUUUUCUUGUAAUUGAAGACUGUUUUUUAUAAAGUGACUGUUGGCAGUUGAUUUGAUUUUGACUUUUAGAGAACUAUCCUUUGUUUUUGCUCUGCUUCUGUCUUGCAGAUGAACAUGGGCCACUUAAUUAACAAUAUUAUUAUUAUUAUUGACAAAAUCGUCUAAUACUACCGACCUCUACAAUUAAAUUGUUUUAGCUAGAUUAAUGAAAACACCAUAUACGAACUUCUAAAAGUAUGAGGAGUUUUUUUUUUUUUACUAUUUUGUUAUUUAAUUCUUUAAUUUAGGUUUAAUACUAGUAACCUGAAAUCCUUAGCCAUCUCUUCAGUAACACCAAAGCUCACAGGAGCUGACAGAACUGGGUCCACACUGGAGUCACUGCUCAUCCGAGGCUGAACCUUCAGAGCUCAGCCCUGCUUUGUAAGGAUUUCACAGUCAAACAAUGUCAGCCACUAGUGUACUGGAAUUCCAUUUAUAAACAUUCUGUGCUGGCCCAGCAGUUUUAUUAUAUUAUGUUUAUUAUAUUAUAUUAUAUUAUAUUAUUACUGAUAAUCUGGGAAAGGAAAUAUCAGAGUGUGCAAAGAUUAUCUGGAUAGCAGUGAGAAGAAAAUGAUACAGUAUAGAUUAUCCAAUUCAGAUAUUUGAAGGUGCUUUCCAGGAUGGCUUUGACAUCAAGAAAUAUAUAAGAAAGCUGGGCAGCAGUGUAAUAAUUGCAAAAUUGGCUGGGAGAAACAAACAAAAAAAAAUGGGUGUGCUCUUUGUUUUGCAGAAAAUUGUUAGAAAAUAAAGCUUCCUUACUUAUUUACUGCAUAGUUCAUGUCAUUCUGCUUUGCAGUAAGACUGGCAUACCCAGAUUUGGUGCCACAGAUGGAUUUAACAAGUUAAAAAUGCAAGUUUUUGAAAAAUCAUGAGUGAAAUCUAGCUCAAACAAUCUCUCCUUCCCCACAACACAUUUAUAUGCAGUCAAAAUACAUUGUUUUCAGAGGGUUAGUAAUUGUUUCCAAAAUUAUUAUCUGAUUGUAAUCCCACAGGAGGCAGCAAAUUGUUGGUUGUUUUUAUACUAUUUUUAAAAAGCAAUCCUGGGAAUGACCAGGAACAAUUUUCCAUCAUUAGUCCUGUGGCUGCCUUGUGGAAAACCUCUACUGUCCACCUACACAUAUCUCAGCUUCCUACUGACAUCCCAGUGGCAUUCUCAAGUGCCAAAUUAGUGCUGUUGGGAGGCAGUGGGCAUUUUCAGAACUUUGAAACAAUUGGUAGAUGUUUUCUAGUCACUUUUUGCUUAUGGGGGAGUAUAGCAAGAUAGCAAAAACUUAUUGCAAGAACAUCCCACCAAGGACAAAAGCAACUGUUUGCAAUGCCUACCUGUCUGAAUUGCCUCUAAGGAAAAGUCCUUCCUACCACAGUUAGCACUUCUUAGUAAUUCAAUUUUCUUGUGCAAAAUGCUUCUUCACCCUCCCUAUUUCUUUAUUUUUCCAACACUGCUGAUCUUUAGAGAGCCUAAAAUGUUACAGCCCGUGACUGCAAGAGUAUUUUUCUGGCCCUGGAUGCAGUACUGCAACUGGAGCCUCUCGAGGGCAGAGUAGAGGGAGAUAAUCUUCUCCCCGUCCCUGCUGUCACCCUUCUUCUGAUGGAACCCAGGACACCAUUGGCCUUCUGGGCUGAAAGUGCAUGCUGCUGGCUCAUGUUAAGUUUUUCAUCAACCAAAAUCCC